rnacentral:misc_RNA from 1 species
UUAAAUCAUUGUAUGGAUUCGUGUAACAAAGCAAACUUAUACCAAAAGGUAUUAAAUGAUAACGUAUGAGCUUGCUCGGGUCUUCUGGAUUGGAUUCAUCAUCAGUGGAGUAUUCACCCACUUCAGCUAUAAAGAUAUUCUGGAAGCAUGGAAGCUUUAGAUCUUUUCCUAUCGUCAAUAAUCAGAUGCUUCAUAGCGGGGCAAGUGACUCGAAACACUCGUCUGUUAGCAACUUGCCAUUACAUCAGUUUAGCUUCAAGAACAAUCGACGAGAAUGGAGCUACAUUAUAGGAAUUCCCAAUGCCUGGGAGACCUUCAGGAACAAAGUCGUCUGGAGAUGAAAGAUUGGUGUCCACCACACGAAACCAAUGCCUCUUUGAUGGUGUAGGGGGUAUCAAAACUUUAACAUAGUAGUCAUGAGCGUUAAACGCCAAAUAGAUAUCUGCUCCAUUGCUGUUAUGAAGCGUAAAUGCAAGGAAUUUGCUUUCAUAAUUGUCCCAGUUGUCUUCAUGCCAUGUCACAUCAUUUUUGCUGAGAAAAUUUUCAUGACGAAAUACUUGAUGCAUUUUUCGAAACUUUAUCACCUCAGAGAAAAACCUGAACUGACUAUUCCUUUGUUUAUCCAACAAUCCCCACUGGAAAUUGUUAAUAGAAGUGUCAUGCCCAUAACUAUUGUUAUUUCCGUAGCGAGUAUGCCCAUAUUCAUCCCCCAUUAGCAUCAUUGGUGUUCCCUGAGAUAACAUUAAUGCCAAAUGGAAAUUUUUCAUUUGGCGAGAGCGUAAAGCUUUAAUUGAAGGAUCAUCAGUUUCUCCUUCAAAGCCACAAUUCCAACUAAAAUUGUCAUUGCUUCCAUCAUUCCCACCUUCUCCAUUGGCAUCAUUAUGCUUAAAAUUGUAUGAAACAAGAUCAUGCAGUGUGAAUCCAUCGUGUGCUAUUACAAAAUUAAUGCUA